rnacentral:pre_miRNA from 1 species
UCAUAUGGAUGAGCAAAGAAAGCAGUUCCUUGAGAUGGAAUCUACUUCUGGUGAAGAUGCUGUGAA